rnacentral:tRNA from 1 species
CCUAAAGCCCUUUAGCACA